ensembl:lncRNA
CGCUCUAUGAUAGAAAACAAACACAGCCCUCUUAUUUGUGCGCACGCUCCCAUUAUUUAAGUCUUGGUGAAACUGUGAAAUAUUCAGAAAGGGAUGGUAUGAGGAGUGCCAUGUGGUAAAUCGUGCACAAUUUUAGCAGCAAGAGCAGCAAGUUCCCACCAAAGGCAGAACAUCUUUCCUCUGAGAGAGUCUUGCUAAUCACCAUCCGAGCUUUAAUAGGAUCAAUGUCUGGAAGAAUGACAGAAGGAAAAUGAGAAACAGAGAAAACGAUGUGAAGACCAUGAAGUGACAGAAGUCAGUGUUGAACUGGCCAAGGUUUUUUUAAACAUCUCCCAAGAAGGCGUUGGUUCACACCAAGCAAGGAGAGUAGAAGAUGGUCCUUGUUAAGAUGAAAAAUGCAACACGAAUUCUGUCAUCAUUAACAAAAUAAAAUCAGCGUUAACCAUGAAAGCA